rnacentral:rRNA from 1 species
CCCUUAGAUGUUCUGGGCCGCACGCGCGCUACACUGACGAAUGCAACGAGCUUAUAACCUUGGCCGAAAGGUCUGGGUAAUCUCCAAAUUUCGUCGUGAUGGGGAUAGAUUAUUGCAAUUAUUAAUCUUCAACGAGGAAUGCCUAGUAAGCGCAAGUCAUCAGCUUGCGUUGAUUACGUCCCUGCCCUUUGUACACACCGCCCGUCGCUCCUACCGAUUGAAUGGUCCGGUGAAGCGUUCGGACCGUGGCCUUGGGACGGUUCGCCGUCUGUUGGCUGCGGGAAGUUCGUUAAACCUUAUCAUUUAGAGGAAGGAGAAGUCGUAACA